rnacentral:rRNA from 1 species
GACGGAGGAUGCAAGUGUUAUCCGGAAUCACUGGGCGUAAAGCGUCUGUAGGUGGUUUAAAAAGUCCACUGUUAAAGAUUGAAGCUUAACUUCAAAAAUGCCGUGGAAACUUUUAAACUUGAGUAUGAUAGGGGUAGAGGGAAUUUCCAGUGGAGCGGUGAAAUGCGUAGAUAUUGGAAAGACCACCAUGGCGAAGGCACUCUACUGGGCCAUUACUGACACUGAGAGACGAAAAGCUAGGGGAGCAAAUGGG